rnacentral:tRNA from 1 species
GAGGGUAUAACUCAGUAGUAGAGUGUGUGCUUAGCAUGCAUAAGGUCUGAGUUCAAUCCCCAGAUCCUCC